rnacentral:rRNA from 1 species
UACGUAGGGUGCGUGCGUUAAUCGGAAUUACUGGGCGUAAAGCGUGCGCAGGCGGUUUUAUAAGACAGGUGUGAAAUCCCCGGGCUCAACCUGGGACUGGCAUUUGUGACUGUAAGACUAGAGUACGGUAGAGGGGGAUGGAAUUCCGCGUGGAGCAGUGAAAUGCGUAGAUAUGCGGAGGAACAACGAUGGCGAAGGCAAUCCCCUGGACCUGUACUGACGCUCAUGCACGAAAGCGUGGGGAGCAAAAAGG